AAUAAGAUCAUUUUUAGUUUUUUAUACAAUGUUUUGACUCUUUAUCUUAUUUAAAUUUUUUUGCAAUUAAUAUUUCUAUUCUUACUGGAUGAUAAAACAUGAAUAGUGUUUUAUGUGUGACUAAUAUUUUUAAGUUUUUUUAUAAAUUUUUUAAAUAAGACAAAUGAUCAAAACGUUGAACACGAAAAUACA
rnacentral:pre_miRNA from 1 species